rnacentral:rRNA from 1 species
UACGGGGGGGGCAAGCGUUGUUCGGAAUUACUGGGCGUAAAGGGCUCGUAGGCGGCCAACUAAGUCGGAUGUGAAAUCCCCAGGCUUAACCUGGGAACUGCAUCCGAUACUGGAUGGCUUGAAUCCGGGAGAGGGAUGCAGAAUUCCAGGUGUAGCGGUGAAAUGCGUAGAUAUCUGGAGGAACACCGGUGGCGAAGGCGGCAUCCUGGACCGGCAUUGACGCUGAGGAGCGAAAGCCAGGGGAGCAAACGGG